rfam:Camelus ferus unplaced genomic scaffold scaffold305, whole genome shotgun sequence.
GAGGGUAUAGCUCAGUGGUAGAGUGCCUGCUUAGCAUGCACAAGGUCCUGGGUUCAAUCCCCAGUACCUCCA